rnacentral:lncRNA from 1 species
GGCAGCGUCGCCCUCGACCUGCCCCGCGGGGCUGCAAAGUCCAUUAAUGACUUUGUUUCUGCGGGAGCUGCUGGGGCUGGAGGAGGUCCCGCUGCGCCCGGCCGAGGCUUCGUGUCCGAGCCGGGGCGAGGGCAUGGUGGUUUUAGCCAGAGCUUGCGCAAAAGCCUAGGAGGGAGCAGGACGAGAACCACCUUUUUAAACUUCGCUUUCAGCCAUGAGGGGAGUCUGCAGCAGCUGAAGACUCCAAGGAGGUUUUGUGUUACGCUGCUCUGUAAGGGGUCACUGGGUACGUUACCACAGUCAGUGGUAAUCUGCCAAAGCACGCUGACCUUUCAGAAAAUAGGAAGUGAAACUUGGCGUUUGCUGUGAGAUUUACCAAAAGUACAAAAUCUCAAAGCUCACCUUGAACUCAGAAUCCUGUUCAAAGGAAAUCAAAUUCUUCUACUGCCCGAUUUACAGUUCAUUUUCAAAGCCAGAGUUUUGUCCCAGCUGGAGAAGUGUUGCUUCGUAAAGGCCUUAAAGGUCACCAGCAGCUUCCCACCGAGCACCUGGUCCCGGCAUGAUACGGCCACGAGCCAAAUCCCACAUGCGCUCCCGGUGUCCAGCAGAGCAAGAGGGCAGUGCUGAGUUUUAACCAGUCAAGGGAAGGACGGGGAAAUCACUUUCUCCCCAGGAGCUGCCUGGGGAGAAAGUAUGACAUUAAAGAGGAUUUUGACCAGCACAGCCAGCCUGGCGAGGCAUGAUGCCGGGACGAUGCCGGGACCAAGAAACCUCGUGUGCAAUGUGAAACAAAUUUGCUGGGGGAGUUGUUAGCCACGGGAACCAGUGAUUAAGGCCGUGUGUGAACCGCUGAGCAGGAGGGUGCCUGCAGUGGCCGGCAGCCCUGUCCCUGCCACCCCGGCUGGGGGCCUGCACUAGCCCCAUGUCAUGGCUAAGUGCAUGGCCACUGCUGCCACCUCGCCAUUUAGGGACUACCCAAGUGACACGUCUCUCUUCAGACCAUGUCUUGGUUGCUCGAGAUGGUCUCUGCUCAAGAAAUGUUAAAAUUCUAGCAUAGACUGCACACUUGGGUUUGCUUAAGGGGAAUUCUGCAGGUUACAGCUGUGACUUAUCUGUCAAUCAAUCAAUUAAUUAUUACAUCUUCUUCUGUUUACACCACACCAGCACUCGGAAUCAGGGUUUCCUGGUGCUCUGGUGCGGGAGAAGAUACAAGGUACACUAUACGCAACGCAGCAGAGCAAGCAGUAGAGGAGGAGGGUGAGGGAAAGAAUCAAACUGCCCUUUUGGAGGGCGGUGCACUGUUAAUGGUGUCGCAGCUGUCAGGGGACCUCCCUAUCUACGUGGAUUUUGUUAGCAUCUGGAUUGAUGC